GAUGAACGCUGGCGGCGUGCCUAAUACAUGCAAGUCGAGCGAACAGAUGAGGAGCUUGCUCCUCUGACGUUAGCGGCGGACGGGUGAGUAACACGUGGAUAACCUACCUAUAAGACGGGGAUAACUUCGGGAAACCGGAGCUAAUACCGGAUAAUAUAUUGAACCGCAGGGUUCAAUAGUGAAAGACGGUUUUGCUGUCACUUAUAGAUGGAUCCGCGCCGCAUUAGCUAGUUGGUAAGGUAACGGCUUACCAAGGCAACGAUGCGUAGCCGACCUGAGAGGGUGAUCGGCCACACUGGAACUGAGACACGGUCCAGACUCCUACGGGAGGCAGCAGUGGGGAAUCUUCCGCAAUGGGCGAAAGCCUGACGGAGCAACGCCGCGUGAGUGAUGAAGGUCUUCGGAUCGUAAAACUCUGUUAUUAGGGAAGAACAAAUGUGUAAGUAACUAUGCACGUCUUGACGGUACCUAAUCAGAAAGCCACGGCUAACUACGUG
rnacentral:rRNA from 1 species